rnacentral:sRNA from 1 species
GGGAGCGCCACCAUUCUGCACAGUGUAUAUAAUUUCUAAAGGAAAAAUCUCGAGUGUGAGAUCUGCUACUGCUCCAUUGGCUCCUAAACCUGCCGCACCACGUAACCAAUUGCAGCCACAACAGCCACAGCCACUACAGCCGCAGCCACGCUACCAGCCACUGAUGCGAAACCCUGAAGGACUUUUUGAAUCUCAUCAAACCCGCAACUACCCACCACGACCUUCACAAGGGAGUGGGAU